UACAGAGGUCUCAAGCGUUUGUUCGGAUUCAUUGGGCGUAAAGGGUGCGUAGGCGGCGCGGUAAGUCGGGUGUGAAAUCUUGGAGCUUAACUCCGAAACUGCAUUCGAUACUGCCGUGCUUGAGGACUGGAGAGGAGACGUGGAAUUUACGGUGUAGCGGUGAAAUGCGGUAGAUAUCGUAAGGGAAGACCAGUGGCGAAGGCGGGUCUCG
rnacentral:rRNA from 1 species